GAAUAUUGGUCAAUGGAUGCAAGUCUGAACCAGCCAUGCCGCGUGCAGGAAGAAGGCCUUCUGGGUUGUAAACUGCUUUUGCCGGGGGAUAAAAUUCCCAUGCGUGGGAAAUUGAAGGUACCCGGUGAAUAAGCCACGGCUAACUACGUGCAAGCAGCCGCGGUAAUACGUAGGUGGCAAGCGUUGUCCGGAUUUAUUGGGUUUAAAGGGUGCGUAGGCGGCCUAUUAAGUCAGUUCUGAAAUAUCCCGGCUUAACCGGGAGGGUGGGAUUGAUACUGAUGGGCUUGAGUGGACUCGAGGUAGGCGGAAUUGACGGUGUAGCGGUGAAAUGCUUAGAUAUCGUCAAGAACACCGAUAGUGUAGACAGCUUACUAGAUUUCAACUGACGCUGAGGCACGAAAGUGUGGGGAUCAAACAG
rnacentral:rRNA from 1 species